rnacentral:antisense_RNA from 1 species
GAAGGCGGCCAUGAGCCCGUUGCAGGCCCGCCACAGGGCCGGCGCCAUGGGUCGGACAGCGCGGCGCGGGGCGGUGAGGCCCCUAAGGUAAAAGCCAUGCUCCAAGUCCCCUUCUGACUUCUAGUCACUUCCUUGCUGCCAGCAGAGGGCAUGGGAUUCUUCCUGAGGAGCCUGAGUCUCAGCUUUGCCAGGUCCUUGCUGUGUGACCUUGGGCACCUGUGCUCCCUUGACAAAGAGGAAUAAAACCUCUUCAUACUACUCUCCUUUUGAUUCUCUCCUGGAACAUAUGACCACCAUCAAUUAUAGGCAAGAACAUGAACACGGGAGUCCCAAAGACCUGGGUUCAAAUGUCAGGCCCUUCACUCGCUGGCUGUAGGUGUGAGGCCCUGGCUCCUGUGGGGCUACUGCAGAGGGGAAACUUCUGGAACAGAGAGCUCCUUGUCCAGGGACACUGCAUCUGGGUGAGCUGCUCCUUGGAUAUGGUGCAAGUGUGGCCAGGGUGUGGUGUGAAAGGAGCAGAAGUUUUCAGGACUGAAUCUGGACGGACCACUGUGGC